CCCACUAGGGAUGGUCAGUGGCCGCUCAAAAAUAAAUCAGGAAGCAGGUAGUACCAUCCAUUACUGACCACGUACUGACGGGAAUGGUCAAGGUUCGAGUCCAGUAUAAAUGGGCUUCUUUUUAUCAGCAGGUCACAUCACCUGUACACUGAGACUUUGAAGAGCACCUUGCCCCACAGUAUCUCUUCGAAAUGAAGGCUUUCGUGUUUCUGCUGUUGUACACCGUCGUGGCCAUGAGCUCCGCCACCCUCUACUACAACAACCUCAACCCUUACCUCACCAAGUACGCCGGUCUAGGUCUCGGCCUCGGUCUGGGCGGCGUGGGUUUCGGCUAUGGUGGACUGUACAAUGGGUUGUACGGAGGUCUCGGUCUGUACAACGGACUGUAUGGAGGACUCUACGGAGGCUUGUACGGAGGCUAUCCUUACUACGGGCUCAAGGGCUACUACUAACGGGAGGAGGAAAGCAAGCCACAGGAAUUCGACCUUCUUUAAAUGCAUUGAUAAUGGAUGUCAUGAAAUUUUUAUAAAAGAUAUUAUACGAGUUAUUUUUUAAUA